ACUGGAUUUGCAGCAGAAACGCCCUGCUAAAGAACAAGUGUCUUGAUUCACAGCAAAGAGGACAAAGAAAAGCAGCAAGUUAGAGGGGGUUGAAUCCUGGACUGCAUCCUCUUUUGAAGUUGGCAGGGGCAACUGAACUGGUACCAUCCUGUUAGUAUCACUGUGUUCCUUUACCAGGCACUUCCGGUAGAGAGUGACUGGAAAUCCAGC